CUCCCGGCCCUCCCCCCUCCGCGGGUGGGGCGCCCGCCGGAGGAUAACCCAACUCAGAUUUAUUGACGUUUCUUCUAGUGACACAACCAAAUAACCAAAACUUUUAACAACGGAUCUCUUGGUUCUGGCAUGCUGAAGAAAUGUGAAAAAUGCGUUAAGUAAUGUGAAUUGCAGAAUUCAAUGAAUCAUCGAAUCUUUGAACGCACAUUGGGCCCGCCUGUAUUCUGGCGGGCAUGCCUGCUCGACCGUCAUUUCAACCCUCAAGCUCUUCGGGGGUGUGGGGCUCGAAGGUUGAAGUACGCAUUUAAAGUUCGGGCCUUUCGCGCUUCGAGCAUCUUCUGGGUAGCUCCUUUUCUACUAUUAUCAUUAGGGUAUGUUCACACGGGUUUGUGAUUGUAUACUCUUACUGUUCCCCCCUGUCGGUCGUAACCCACGGUAUAAAAAACUAAAAAAA
rnacentral:misc_RNA from 1 species